rnacentral:rRNA from 1 species
GACGAACGCUGGCGGCGUGCUUAACACAUGCAAGUCGAACGGAAAGGCCCUGCUUGCGUGGGGUGCUCGAGUGGCGAACGGGUGAGUAACACGUGAGUAACCUGCCCUUGACUGUGGGAUAACUUCGGGAAACUGGGGCUAAUACCGGAUAGGAGCGCCUGCUGCAGGGGGGGGGUCGGACAGUUUCCGCGGUUGGGGAUGGACGCGCGGCUUAUCAGCUUGUUGGUGGGGUAGUGGCUAACCAGGUGUUUGGCUGGUAGCCGGCCUGAGAGCGUGACCGCCCACCUUGGUCCUGCGGUACGGCCCAGAGUGCUACGUGGGGCAGAGGUGGGGAAUAUUGCCCAAUGGGCGGGCGCCUGUUGCGGCGGCGCCGCGUUCGUGAUGACGGCCUUCGGGUUGUAAACCGCUUUAGCCUGUGACGAAGCGUGAGUGACGUUACUGGGUGAAGAAGCACCGGCUAACUACGUG